rnacentral:rRNA from 1 species
GGAGUCUGGGCCGUAUCUCAGUCCCAAUGUGCCCGGUCGCCCUCUGAGGCCGGGUACCCGUCGUAGCCCCUGGUGGUCCUUUGCACCGCCAGCCAGCUGAUGGGACGCAGGCCGCUCCCCGUGCGGAGCCGUAGCUCCUUUCCUCCCAUGUUUCUGAUCCAUGGGACCGUAUCCGGUAUCACUCCGUGUUUCCACGGGCUGUCCCCCGACACAGGGGUGCGUCACCCACGCGUUACUCACCAGUCCGCCGCUCUCAGAAGUAGCAAGCUACUUCUUCCCGCUCGACUUGCAUGCUUAAGACGCGCCGC